GUGCUCUGGUUUCUUAUCUGAUUGUCUAAAUUGUUUGCAUUUUACUAAAGAUUUCAGUGGAGAGGAGUUCUCAGAGUUUUGAGCAAUUUGUUUUUGUUGCCCUACUAUUGAGGGGCU